GCGUACUAGCUACAAUAACAACGUAAACCGGGAAGUUUGCAAUAUGGCGUCAGCGUCCUCCUCAAAAAUUACGUCAAAGUGCAGAAGAAAACUGGAGGCGUUGUUGUCGAAUGGUAUGCCAUCGACAUUGGCGAGGGGGAUGUAACGUUUGCCCAGCUAGUACGAGCGACUUGUGGUAGCCAGCGAGUAUCGCCCGGACAGACGUCUUUUCCAGAGCGGCCACAACGAUGAGAGAAAUGGGAGAGGAGUUGAGGUGGCCUUUAAGUGGGUCAGGCCAUGCCAUUUUUCAGUUCGGCUGUUUUGUACGUAUUGUUGUUGACAAAACUGGCCUUCAACAACUAAAGCCGAAGAUUGUCAACAGAAGUCAGCUUUUGAGGGCUCUUUCAUGUAGUGCACCAGGUGUAUUACUACUCUGCGCAAGUCAAGUCUAGGGCGCUGACCAUUCUGCCACUGGUCUGCUGGAUGUGUGGGGAAACAAACACGCUUCCCAUCCCUCCAGAGAAACUGCAAGAGUUUCAGUGCUUUCACCCAGUGUGCCAUGUGUGCAAAGCUGGUGUUGGAGAGCGUACAAGAGUGAAGAGAAAGCUGAAGAGGAAGAGAUCUAGAGAGGAAGAAGAUGGACCACUAACUUUCAGGUGGGUACUGUUUCUGCUCUACCUUUUACAUUUCAUCUAUUCAAUCCCCUUGUUGUAUGCACUUCUACAGGGUAUAAAGUAUAAACUAUAUACUGUAUAUAUAAUGUAUAUAUCUACCUUUUACGUU